rnacentral:misc_RNA from 1 species
CUUGUCGAGUCCGUGCUUCGCGUUGAAGUUCGCGAUCUGCUCGGCAGUUGCGGUCUCGCCGAGGAUGGUCGUCGCGGGCGAACCGGGCACGAGCUCGAUCAGCAGCGUCACGAGCGACACCACCGUCCAGAUCACCAACAGCGUGAGGGCGAGCUGCCUCGCGAAAUUCAGGAGCUUGUACUUCAUCAGAAGCCUGACCGUAAGGGAGGGCGAGCCUCGGGCCGAUACUUUAGGUGAUUGUCCCUAUCCAACAAAUUCAUCGAAAUUCGGAAAUUCGUCGCCCUGGCCGUAGAGCGUGUACUCGAUGGCCUUCGCUACUGAACUCUCUUUCCACAGAUAGCGGGUGCUCGCAUGCCGCGACCAGACCUUCACAUCAGAAUCUAUAAGUUUAGCGUUACGAAGAUUCCUAGUCGAAUAGCUUUUGAACGCCUCAAUGAUCU